rnacentral:rRNA from 1 species
UACGGAGGGUGCAAGCGUUAUCCGGAUUCACUGGGUUUAAAGGGUGCGUAGGUGGGUUUGUAAGUCAGUGGUGAAAUCUCCGUGCUUAACAUGGAAACUGCCAUUGAUACUAUAGAUCUUGAAUUUUCCGGAGGUCAGCGGAAUAUGUCAUGUAGCGGUGAAAUGCUUAGAUAUGACAAAGAACACCGAUUGCGAAGGCAGCUGACUAGAGGAAUAUUGACACUGAGGCACGAAAGCGUGGGGAGCAAACAGG